ACACUGAUGGUGAAACGGUAUCAUGCUUGCCUUCCAUGGGCAGAGAAACCGAGCAAGCGGCGUGGGUUUCACUCCCGCUCAGUGUA